ACAGCUUGACACUGCUACUUGGAUAAGAAUGUGCAGGAUAGGUGGGAGGCUUUGAGUAUAUGACGCCAGUUGUAUAUGAGCCAUUGUUGAGAUACCACUCUUUCUUAUUUGGGUAGCUAACCAGCUUGAGUUAUCCUCAAGUGGGACAAUGUCUGGUGGGUAGUUUGACUGGGGCGGUCGCCUCCCAAAUAAUAACGGAGGCUUACAAAGGUUGGCUCAGAACGGUUGGAAAUCGUUCGUAGAGUAUAAAGGUAUAAGCCAGCUUAACUGCAAGACAUACAAGUCAAGCAGAGACGAAAGUCGGUCUUAGUGAUCCGGUGGUUCUGUGUGGAAGGGCCAUCGCUCAAAGGAUAAAAGGUACCCCGGGGAUAACAGGCUGAUCUCCCCCAAGAGCUCACAUCGACGGGGAGGUUUGGCACCUCGAUGUCGGCUCAUCGCAUCCUGGGGCUGGAGCAGGUCCCAAGGGUAUGGCUGUUCGCCAUUUA
rnacentral:rRNA from 1 species